GAUGAACGCUAGCUACAGGCUUAACACAUGCAGGUCGAGGGGCAGCAUGAAGUUUGCUUGCAAACUUUGAUGGCGACCGGCGCACGGGUGAGUAACGCGUAUCCAACCUUCCCGCGAGCGGGGUAUAGCCCGGCGAAAGUCGGAUUAAUCCCCCAUACCUCCCAUGACGUCCUCGGAGUGGGAGCAAAGGCCUUGGCCGCUUGCGGAUGGGGAUGCGUCCGAUUAGGAAGUAGGCGGGGUAACGGCCCACCUAUCCAUCGAUCGGUAGGGGUUCUGAGAGGAAGGUCCCCCACACUGGUACUGAGACACGGACCAGACUCC
rnacentral:rRNA from 1 species